AAUCAACGCUGGCGGCGUGCCUAACACAUGCAAGUCGAACGGGAAAACGGGGGCAACUCCGUGAGUAUAGUGGCGUACGGGUGAGUAACACGUGACUACCUACCUUUGAGUGGGGGAUAACCCCGGGAAACCGGGGCUAAUACCGUAUAACAUCGCAAGAUCAAAGAAGCAAUUCGCUUAAAGAGGGGGUCGCGGCUGAUUAGCUAGUUGGUAGGGUAAUGGCCUACCAAGGCGAUGAUCGGUAGCCGGCCUGAGAGGGCGCACGGCCACACUGGAACUGAAACACGGUCCAGACUCCUACGGGAGGCAGCAGUGGGGAAUUUUGCGCAAUGGGGGAAACCCUGACGCAGCAACGCCGCGUGGAGGAUGAAGUCCCUUGGGACG
rnacentral:rRNA from 1 species